ACAGGACCUGCAUGCAAUGCUGCUGGAAUGGUUGAUCGUACAGUUUUGGGUAUUCAACACUUAUAUAGAAGGCCAAUAUAUGCACGAACAAAAGAGUGUAGUGUCAAUUCUCCAGAUUAUGGUUCAAUUCCUAUAGAUGCUCCUUCGUGGUGUCAAGCCCCCUUUGACCCCGAAGGACUUUUGAGGUUUGUCAUUAUUUGUCCUUGAUAUUGCAAGGACUGCAAACUUUAUGUACUAAUUAUCUUGUUUUGAUA